AUAAUGCAGUCGACGCUUCUUUUCCCACCGGAGCUUGCUCCACCGGGAAAAGAGGAGUGGCGAACGGGUGAGUAACACGUGGGUAACCUGCCCAUCAGAAGGGGAUAACACUUGGAAACAGGUGCUAAUACCGUAUAACAAUCGAAACCGCAUGGUUUCGUUUUGAAAGGCGCUUUACGGUGCCGCUGAUGGAUGGACCCGCGGUGCAUUAGCUAGUUGGUGAGGUAACGGCUCACCAAGGCCACGAUGCAUAGCCGACCUGAGAGGGUGAUCGGCCACAUUGGGACUGAGACACGGCCCAAACUCCUACGGGAGGCAGCAGUAGGGAAUCUUCGGCAAUGGACGAAAGUCUGACCGAGCAACGCCGCGUGAGUGAAGAAGGUUUUCGGAUCGUAAAACUCUGUUGUUAGAGAAGAACAAGGGUGAGAGUAACUGUUCACCCCUUGACGGUAUCUAACCAGAAAGCCACGGCUAACUACGUGCCAGCAGCCGCGGUAAUACGUAGGUGGCAAGCGUUGUCCGGAUUUAUUGGGCGUAAAGCGAGCGCAGGCGGUUUCUUAAGUCUGAUGUGAAAGCCCCCGGCUCAACCGGGGAGGGUCAUUGGAAACUGGGAGACUUGAGUGCAGAAGAGGAGAGUGGAAUUCCAUGUGUAGCGGUGAAAUGCGUAGAUAUAUGGAGGAACACCAGUGGCGAAGGCGGCUCUCUGGUCUGUAACUGACGCUGAGGCU
rnacentral:rRNA from 1 species